rnacentral:rRNA from 2 species
UAGGUUUGAUCGGUGAGUCACACGUGGGCAAUCUGCCCUUCACUCUGGGACAAGCCCUGGAAACGGGGUCUAAUACCGGAUAAUACUUCUGCCUGCAUGGGUGGGGGUUAAAAGCUCCGGCGGUGAAGGAUGAGCCCGCGGCCUAUCAGCUUGUUGGUGAGGUAGUGGCUCACCAAGGCGACGACGGGUAGCCGGCCUGAGAGGGCGACCGGCCACACUGGGACUGAGACACGGCCCAGACUCCUACGGGAGGCAGCAGUGGGGAAUAUUGCACAAUGGGCGAAAGCCUGAUGCAGCGACGCCGCGUGAGGGAUGACGGCCUUCGGGUUGUAAACCUCUUUCAGCAGGGAAGAAGCGAAAGUGACGGUACCUGCAGAAGAAGCGCCGGCUAACUACGUGCCAGCAGCCGCGGUAAUACGUAGGGCGCAAGCGUUGUCCGGAAUUAUUGGGCGUAAAGAGCUCGUAGGCGGCUUGUCACGUCGGUUGUGAAAGCCCGGGGCUUAACCCCGGGUCUGCAGUCGAUACGGGCAGGCUAGAGUGUGGUAGGGGAGAUCGGAAUUCCUGGUGUAGCGGUGAAAUGCGCAGAUAUCAGGAGGAACACCGGUGGCGAAGGCGGAUCUCUGGGCCAUUACUGACGCUGAGGAGCG